rnacentral:rRNA from 1 species
GAUGAACGCUGGCGGCGUGCCUAAUACAUGCAAGUCGAGCGAACAGACGAGGAGCUUGCUCCUCUGACGUUAGCGGCGGACGGGUGAGUAACACGUGGAUAACCUACCUAUAAGACUGGGAUAACUUCGGGAAACCGGAGCUAAUACCGGAUAACAUGUUGAACCGCAUGGUUCAACAGUGAAAGACGGUCUUGCUGUCACUUAUAGAUGGAUCCGCGCCGCAUUAGCUAGUUGGUAAGGUAACGGCUUACCAAGGCAACGAUGCGUAGCCGACCCGAGAGGGUGAUCGGCCACACUGGAACUGAGACACGGUCCAGACUCCUACGGGAGGCAGCAGUAGGGAAUCUUCCGCAAUGGGCGAAAGCCUGACGGAGCAACGCCGCGUGAGUGAAGAAGGUCUUCGGAUCGUAAAACUCUGUUAUUAGGGAAGAACAAAUGUGUAAGUAACUAUGCACGUCUUGACGGUACCUAAUCAGAAAGCCACGGCUAACUACGUG